rnacentral:misc_RNA from 1 species
GCAUUUUUCACUUUUUCCUGUAGUGGUAAAUAAUUGAUUGGGUUCAUUAUUUUUGAGACUGCUGAUUUUAGGUUUUUCCCAUAGCUUAGAAGUGUAUUAAUUCAACUCAACUGAUAUUUAUUUGAUUUUAGCAAUCUGUGUUGAAGUGUGGGAUUGAAUUUCAGAAUUAGGACAGAAAUGGGAAGGAAAGGAAUUGUACAGAAGAUUAGAUUGCAAUUCUGGGUUGUGGAACUGUAAAGGAUUUUACCCAAAAUACCAAGUUUUAAAGUGUGGCGAAAUGGUGAUACUAAAAAAGUUGAGAUUUAAAAGGAAAGAAUAAAUAAAUGUCUUCAAUCAAAUUCAUGGGCUGCAAAACUUCCUCAGUUAGACGUUUUGCCAGUUCAUCAAGCAUCAGCAGAUCAACUGCAUUGAUUUUAAUUUAUACCUAUGCUAACUUACUCUUCCCAGUUAGUGGCUUUUAAUUGUAUUAAAUAUCAAUCUUUGAACUGAUAUCAUUGAUUUCUUAUGGCUUGAAGAAAUAUAAUUUAGAGGCUUUUGAGUUAUAACUUGUUUUCUUUGGCAGAAUGCUGCUUUUGAAG